rnacentral:lncRNA from 12 species
UCCAUAAUCUAAGUAAAUCCUCAUAAUUCUAUGACAUACAUUGUUUUAUUAUUUCCUUUUUGCAGGUGACAAAAGUGAGGCACAGCAAGACAGAAUCACAUGCCUAAGCUCACACCUCUUUGGAAAGUUGGCCCAACUGAUGCCUGCUAUGAAUCAAAAGAAUUGGGAUAUGGGAUUGAGUCAAGACUAGUGCCCAUUGCAUUUGGGGCAGGUCAGAGCUGAAAAAUCAUAACUUCCAGAUCAUUUCCAGUGCUUCAAUCCCAAAGGUGCACAGUUCCUCUUGACAUUUAAAAAUGUGACUUGUUUGGCUCAGCCACAAAAUCGCACCUAGUAUGUGAAUCUAUUUAUGUAAGUACAAAAAUAGGCCAAACUAAUCUACAAUGUGCACAAGUCAGAAUGGCAGUCACAUUUUGGGGGUGGUAGAGAUUAAGAAGAGGCCAUGAAGGGCCUCUGGGGUACUGUAGUGUUCUUCUCAGCGUGGGUACCUAUUGUGAAAGUACACUGAGCCGUGUGCCUCUAUUUGUCCUUCUCUGCACAGACAUUACACUUCAAUAAAAAGUAAAGUAAAAAUGUAAUUUGUUCA